rnacentral:tRNA from 1 species
GCCCUAGUGGUAUAAUGGUAAAGCACUUGGCUGCUAACCAAAGGUUGGUGGUUUGAACCCACCCUGUGGUU